GAUCAUUUCAAUAGACAUAAAAAAGGCUUUUGAUAAAAAUUCAAUAUUCCUUCAUGUUAAAAACACUCAACAGCUAGGCAGUGAAAGAAUAUACCUCAAAAUAAUAAGAGCCAUCUAUGACAAACAAAAAAAGGUAUUGACAGAGCUAAAGACAAUGGAAACAGUUUCAAUAGAAAGAAGCUACAGGACUUCUUACAGCCCACAGUACCAGAACAUCAAGCUAUUUAGCUGCAGAUGUGUACUACUCUUGAAGAUAAGAAAAGCAGUAAUCCUGAGGGCAAUUCAGAGGUCAUCAGGUCUGUCUCCUUGGUUUUCAAUGGGGGAGAGAGCCAUUGCCUUGGUUUCAACAGGCUAGACAGUGGCAGCCUGGAGCCUGGAGAAUGAGAAUUCACUCAGCUGAGCCUUGGGGGUGGAUGUGACUCUCACAUUGCAGAGCUUUGAGGGCACAACCCCCACCCAAAAAAGCCUUGCAGGACAUGGGUCUCAAAGACAGAGCAUCAAACUAAAAAGAAUUAUUCUUGAGCCUCAAGAUCUAAUGGCAUUUGUUUGCUAGGUUUUGAACUUGAUUUGGACAUGUUACUCCUCUCUUCCUCCCAACUUCUCCAUUUUGUAAUGGGAAAGUCUAUUCUAUGCCUGUCCCACUAUUGAAAUUUGGAAGUACGUAACUUAUCUGGUUUCACAGGCUCACAGCUGGAAAGAAAUUUUGCCUCAGGAUGAAUUGUACCUUGAGUCUCAUUCAUAUCUGAUUUAGAUGUUUCUUAAAUGAGACUUAGAAGUCCAGAGUUGAUGAGAGAAUGAGUUAUGGAUUUUGCUACUAUUGGGAUAGAAUUAAUACAUUUUACAUGCAAGAAAGACAUGAAUGAUGGGGGGCCAGGGGUGGAAUGUUAUGAACUAAAUGUUUGUGUACCUCUCCUGCCAAAUUCAUAUGUUGAAACUCUCACCCCUAAUGUGGUGGUAUUUGGAGUCAAGGCCUCUGGAAGUCAAUUAGGUUUAUAAAGGUGGGGGUCUCAUAAUGGGAUGAGUGUCCUUAUAAGAGGAGGAAGAGAGACCAGGGCUUGGACUCUCUGCCAUGUGAGAACACAAUAAGAAGGUGGCUCUCUCCAAGACAGAAGGAGGUCCCUCACCAGAAACCAGAUCUGCUGGUACUUUGAUUUUGAACUUCCCAGGCUCCAGAACUAUGAGAAUUAAACGUCUCCUGUUUAAGACAGCUUAUGAUAUUUUGUUGUAACAGCCUGUGCCAACUAAGACAAGACUGAAGAGAUAUGGAUGUUAAUGACUGAUAAGUAUACAAAAGGAAGUGAGGAGCAUGGUAUGUAUUUUCUCUAAGAAAAUGUUGAUCAUCUUAGAGAAGAUUUACAUCAACAUGAAGAGACCGAUGGUAGAAAUACAGAAUUAAAUGCACUUCAGGUGAAGGUUCAGAUGAGUGGAAAAAAACUUGUUAUUGGAAACUGGAGGAAUGGAGAUCUUUUUCAUAUCAUGGCAGGCAGCUCAGCUGAAUUGUAUCAUGCAGUAAAUGUAAAGUUACUCACUAUUUUAUUUUUUGAAAUUAAUAAGUAUCUUAUAAGAAGCUACUUUGAGACAAUGUAAGUACUGCAUAUUGCUUUUCCUUAAAUGUUCAUCAGUAAUUUUAGCAGCCACCGAUGUUUCCUUGCUGGAAUAAAAUUAUUGUGAUGAUGACUGUCAAAUGGUCAUUUCCUACCUUCGUCAUUUCUUCUAUAUUUUUUAGUUGACUUCUAAUGAAACAAACAAACAAAAACCCCUUUUCUUUCUUCUUUCCUUUUCAUUUAAUCCCUUCCUUUCUUCUUUCCUGCUUUCUCCUUUACUUUUUGCAGCAGAUAAGUUCUUGAGGGAGCCAUGAAUCGUAUAAAAAAGUGUCAUAUUAUUUUACCUACUGGAUUGAUGGUGACUAUUGUUUUCCUUGUCAGAAAAUAAUUAUUAAAGAAAGUCAAUAUAGAUACUCUCUUAACUGAUCUUAAUUUACCCAACUCCUUGGGUUGACAUUUCCUAUUCUCUCUGUAAAACCUAAUUAUUAGCUCAAAUUAUGCUGAAUACACUUGACUAUUACAUUAAGAGGGUCCCUAUUGACUCUCUAGUUCUAGGGUACGUCUACUCUCUCAAAAGUUCUACACCAACUAAAAGUGAUUUGUAUUUAUUUGUAAAUCAGUUUAUACAAAAGAUUAUUGUAGUUACAGAAAGUAAAUAUUUUUACUUGCUUUGAUUAAAUAUUAAUAUAAAAGAUUGUUUCUAUGUAAGUUAAUCUGAAUUCCUUUAAAAUGCUUAUUAAGUCUACUCAGUAAAGUUGAUUGCUACUGAGUUAGUAAAGGGUGAGCCAAAUAUGAAUGACUGAAAAAUCAUGGUAAAAAUUGACUGGUCUACACUAAGAUACCUUUGAAAGUGUCUUAGAAUUCUGGCUCUAUUGAAACAAAAAUAAACUGUGUAUUUUUAUAGAAGAAAGACAGUGCAGAAUAGUAGACCCACACUUGGCCCUUGCCCCUACUUAAAAGAUUGAUAAAUAAAUAAAUGAUAUGAUAAUAAUAACAAAAUAAUAAAAUUCACCCUUAAUUUAUUUUAAAUAUAUUCAUCUUUUUUACAGAUAUGCUUCAUCUUUUAUUGACUUUUUUACUUACACAACUAAUUAUUAAUACCAUCUCCUCAGAUAAAUGGACUUUGGUUAUUUUGAUAGCUUUCAGGACCUGAAACGUAAAUCGAUUCACACUGUAAAUUUGAAAGAUAGAUAAUUCAACAAUUUUAGGCCAUCUACCAUGUAUCCAGGUUUUGGUGAUGAGGGAGAUACCAAAUCACCAUGAGAAAACUUCUGUGUAGACAAAGUAACUUUCUCAUCUGAAAAGGCUAGACUAGUUCCUAGAGAACAAUCAGGCAAGCCAUGCUGCUUGGGAAAAAAAAAAAAAAAAGUGCAGCUUUAGAGAAGUCCACCACCUGAUUCCUAGAGACUGAGAGAGAACUAUGUGUAGGAAAGGACACUUGAUCUUUCCUACCUCCUCCCACCUCAGCCUCUCAAAGUGGUGGGAUUACUGGUGUCAACCACCAUGUCUGGCCCCAACCUGAACUUCUUAAUGUGGCUAAGGCACUGUAUGAUCUAACCACUCUUUAGAUGUCCUACCCCCUGCAUGUCUUUCACUCACGAAGGAACACAAAACCAGUGGCCUAGCCACAUUUCAGACCCCUGAGGUGACUUCUGUUUAUGUUCUUUCCUUUGCCUGAAAUAAUCUCACUUGCCUUUUGUCCAGCAAACUUUCUUAGUUUAAAAGUUACUUCCCCUAAUUUCCUGACCAUUAAAACUGAGUUCAGUGUCCCUACUACCCCUCUCCAUAGUACUCUGGAUCCUAUAAUCAAACAUUCCAUAUGUAUAAUUGACCUUAAGCAUCUUGUAGAAAAUAAUUUUUGUUGCUUAUUGAGACCAUCGUACCUAGCGUAACUACUGGCCCAGUGUAGAAGCUCCGUAUGUACUUGUUAAAUAAUUGAUGAGCAGUUUCAGUGCCCUUAAAUCAAUCAACUUUUUUUUUUUAUAUUCAUUUCCUCCUCAGGUAUAACGUUUACAAAUACAUUUAUGUGAAUUAUUUGAGUGAAUCUGUCUUUAUUCAUAAAAACUGAAAUAGAUUUGCAAAAAAAAUAAUUUUGCGAGUAAAUUAUCUUCUGCUUGUGACUUGCAAUAACGGGGAAAGAAUUCAGGCAGUAUGAUUUAACAGAAAUGUGCUUAGUAGGAGCCAUGGUUUAAAGGUAUGUGUGCCCCCAAAUUCAUUUGUUGGAAACUAAGACCCAUUUUGACAGUAUUCAGAUAUGGGGCCUUUAGGAUGUGAUUAAGUCAUGAAGGCACCAUUCUCAUGAAUUGGAUUGGUGACCUUUUAAAAGGGCUCGGUUGGGUCCCUGUUGACCUUCUGCCUUCCGCCAUGUGAGAAUGCAGCAACAGGGUGCCAUCUUAGAAACAGAGAGCAGCCCUCACUAGACACCAGAAUCUGUUGGUGACUUGAUCUUGGACUUCUCAGCUUCGUGAACUAUAAUUAACAAAUUUUAGUCCUUUAUAAUUACACUGUCCCUGUCUAAGGUGUUUUGGUAUAGAAGCCCGAGUGGACCGGGUGGUAGACUAAGAUCUAAUUAACUCUGUAAAGUCAAUAUAACCGAGAAUUUCUCUAAGAUAUUUUCAGGUGGUUGCAGUCUAUUGGCAAUACCUGACUAAAGUUGAAAUGUUUCCUAGCAACUAACUCCUUUGCUGAAAUAAAUAGGCCAAUGUUUGUUCCCUAUCACUGCCAGACAGAAUAACCUCAAUGUGUUAAUGAUGGAAAACCCCCAGAAUCCACAGGCAGAAACAAAUUGUACUUAGUAGGCAAGCAGAUCAAUUUUCCAAAUCUAUUCAGAAUUCAAUGUGGGUAGAUUUAUAAUCUGCAUUUUGGCAUAAAUCUGAUGUUUUCUACCAUAUAAACAUUAACAGUAGGUUAACGUUUAACUUGAAUGCUUGGUGUGUGUAUGUGUGUGGAGGGUUGUUAAGUGCAGAGCUCUGUGACCAGUUGUACUUGUUCCUUAUCAUUCCAUGGCCCUCUCAGUUUGUAAAUCAUGAGUUCAGACUCUGUAUUGUCAGUUGUUUCAUCUGGUUUCAGGGGCCCAGAUUAUUGUUCCUCUCUCUCUCUCUUUUCUUUUUCUUGAGAAGCAGUUUCACUCUUGUCACCCAGGCUGGAGUGCAAUGGUGCAAUCUCGGCUCAUUGCAACCUCCGCCUCCCAGGUUCAAUCAAUUCUCCUGCCUCAUCCUUCCCAGUAGCUGGGAUUACAGAUGCCUGCCACCAUGCCCAGCUAAUUUUUGUAUUUUUAAUAGAAACAGGGUUUCACCAUUUUGGCCAGGCUGGUCUUGAACUCCUGACCUCAGGUGAUCCACCUGUCUUGGCCUCCCAAAGUGCUGGGAUUACAGGCAUGAGUUACUGCGCCCAGCUAUUGUUCCUCUCUUAAAAUAGCUUGCCACAUUUUGACACUAUAAAGCUAAGAUUAAAAAAGGCUCUAACACAGAAGCCAGAGACUCUGUUCCUCCCUGUGCCUUAAUUUCCCUUAAUCUACACUUCUGUGAGAUGAGCAUCAUUCCCUAGCUUGGCAUCUUGCAUGGACUUUUUUUUUUUUUUUUUUUGAGGAGAUAGUAUUCUUGCUAGGGUUUAAAUGGAUUUUGCUUGCUAUUCAAAUCACAAUACAGAAAUUUACUUUAGGCCAAAUAUUCUUCACUGGCUUUGAGACACUUCUCUGUGUUCUGAAAACCAUUGAUCUUUACCAACACAUAGCCCUUUUCAUUUUUUACACUGGUUCUAUUGCAGGAACCUGCUCAGGUCUCUGAACCUGCAUUAGAACACUGAAUCUUCAUACUGACCUUAUGAGGUAGAUAACAUAAUCAAUUGACAACGAUACUAUUGACAACUAAGGGAAAUUAAGGCACAAGGAGGAACACACAGCUUGAAGGAGACAGUACCAGGUGCAGGAACAUGGCCCUAGAAACUCAGGCGGUGUAUGCUGGGCUAGAGACAGUAAAGGAGAGAGGCAGGACAUGGAGGGAAACCCUGUACACUUUUCUGGCACUUUAAGCUCUAGGAGCACUUCAUUGUGCCCAGAGACAUUUUAAAUCAUUCCAUUCUUAACUGAUGGCAGCGAUUCUCUACAGAGGCUUUUCUAGUUACCCUAAAGUUACAGUUGUUGUUUUUGAGCCCAAAUGCAAUUAAAGCUUCAGUACUUAUCCAUAGAGUAGCUAGCUAACUUGAUGCCGGGAGCCCAGACACUGACUUUCUGGCAAUUUAAUUGCCUGUGGCUGGUGCUUUUUGUUUUUUCCUCUCCCAGCCUUGUCUCUACUUUCACUUACACUCCCCUCACUCCUCAACCCUCCCCCAAGAGGUACAUAGGAGAGGUACUGACAUCCCUUAAUCUUGUCUUCCUCCCCUCCCUCCCCUCCUUCUUCCUCCCUCCUUCUCCCCCUUCCUCACUGACCACCUACCUAGAACUUCCUUCCCAAGAUCAAAAAUAUACCUCCAUGCCCCAUCCAUUGCAGCUUUUCCUCCUGAAUAUUUUCCCUAGUCAGGGACACGCAGUGACUUUCCAUUCACUGUUAUAACUCACAUGGUAGAAAUAAAAAAAUAUGCAACAUUUCCUCAAAUCUCAUUGAGAUUACAAAUUAAACUUUGAAAAACAAUUCCUGGUAUUUUCUUAAUUAAAUAUCGAAUUUUUCAUGUGUGAUUAUUUUCUGUAUGUAAUUAUGUAAUGAGAAGAUAUUUGUCUAGUAUUUAAAUAGGUUCUGCAGAAGAUAUGUGGGGUUUUGCUCAGAUCUUCUUUGCAGAGUUGAAGAAAGAAAUGUUUAGAUCAGUUUAGUUUCAUUUUGCUUAACCAAAGAUCCAGAAUCCUGUUGAGAGAGAGAGAAAUAAUGAAAGUAAAAUUUAGCUGUCACAGAGAUAAUGUCAGUACUCUAAGCCUUAUUUUGGGUUAGUUUUGGCACAUUAUGGCCAGUUUGGAAAUCCUAUGCCCACCCUCUUCUGUAACUGGCAUAACAAUGCCAUUGGGAUUCAGCUAUGCAAGUACCUCCACUUUUCUUGGCAUGCCAUCUGUACCAAGCACAUGCUCUGAGUUCCAUGGGUACACCUCAUCACUGGAACUUGGCAUCUGGUGAAUUGUUUAGACUUGUGGGAGAUCAUCUAGACUUGACUUUUCCUGAAGAUCUCCUGCAUACUAAUGUUCUCACCGCUUGCCAUUUGGAGCUAUUGAGGUCUAGGGCACUAACACCAUGAGGAGAGCUGCUGUUACAAGAAUUGUGCUGAAUAUGAAAGAGGGACUCUUCCACAUGCCCUUAUUGCUUAAGCAUACUUUUCCAUUGCAUGAAGAAUAUUGUGGGUUGUUCAUGUCAUCUUUCAACUCAAUCUUCAUUACAAAAGAGAUUAACUAAAUUCUUAUAAGCUUCUGACAGGUGGAAAUCCUAGUUUCCAACACUGGUACAGAUUUUACUACAAAGUGUCAUGUACCUUUGCUCAUUUUUAAAGGAGAUUUGAAAGGAAAAGUCAGUUAAAUAUGAUGGAGACAGGAGGCAGAGAAAUUCUAGGUAGAAAAGGGUGAGUCCCCAGUGAAAACCCUACCCUCAAGCUGAAAUGCCUGAAACCCCGGCCCAAAGUGAGAAUUUAUAUCCCUGUUUUCCUACUUGAAUGUUGCCUUUUCCUAAACUGCCCAUGGCCCGCCCUGCCUGCAAUCCUGUGCCUAUAAAGACCCAAGACUCAGUCAGAGAGGAGUGGAGACUAUGGCUGGACAUUGGAGAGAAGCAGCUUGACUUCAGAGGGACAGCUUGACAGUGUAACUUCAGAGAAGAAUCCAGCUGGACAGGGCCAGACUUCAGGGGAAGAUCACCUACCCCACUGUCCCCUUUUCAGCUCCCUUUCUCACUGAGAGCCACUUUCAUCAGCAAUAAAAUCCCCCUCAUUUACCAUCCUUCAGUUUGUUUUUGUGACCACAUUUUUCCUGGACACCGGACAAGAGCCUGGGAGCCAUGAGUGCCGAUAUAAAAGGCUCUCACAUUCGCCAUUUGCCCUUGCUGGUGGAGGGCAGCUGUCCCACAUGACAAGGCAAAGGGCCCACUGAGCUGUUAACACUUAAGCCGUCCACAGACAGCAGAGCUAAAAGAGCACUGUUAACACAUCUUCUGGGGCUUCAGGAAUCGCAGGCAACCCCACCUGGAUGCUACCACAGGGCCUGCACAGUUUGUUCCUGCCCAUGCCAAAGCGGCCAGCCAGUUCCAGUGCUUGUACACUCCAGUUCCUGCCUUGUUUGCCUGUGCACUCCCUCCCAGGAGGAGUUGAGAAUGGCAGGCUGAGUAAACAAGGCACCCCUGUCUCGAGUCCUGUGAAGGGGUCAGGGAAAUAUCCUGCUUCAAAUGUACCAUCAUUUAACUGAAUGAGUGCUCAAAAUACCAUCUGAACACAUUUCGUUUAAAAACAAAAAUCAAAUAUACAAAAAAAUCAAGUUUUUAUUUCAAAUAUUUGAAUCUAAUAGAUCAUUAUUUAGGUUUAUACUCUGUGAAU
rnacentral:lncRNA from 1 species